UUCUCCUUGUUCUCAUCGCCUCUGCGGAGAUGUUCUCUCUUGUCUCCCCAACUGUAGCUUCUUCCCCCUUUGGUUAUGGGGGAUUAACAUUACCCACCUUGAUGUUGUUGCUAUUGUUGUUGCUGUUGAGAUCAGCUUUUAAAGGUGUACUACAAAUUAUUAAGUAUUGGGGAAAAUGGUGGAGAUGGAAUAAAAUUGAUGUUGAGAUUUUUUAUGCAAAAUCCAACUAAUUCAGGAUUGAGGAUCCAAAAUAGAGUAGAAAAUCCUAAAACUGCCAGCAACAUUACGUGUGAAAAAGAAUUCAGACUCCGUUGCUCUAGUCUGACCUCAAGUUUGGAACCUUCUAUUUCAGGAGACAGAUGCAACUCUUUGGAUAGCUACAAAAGUAUAACUACUGAUGGUAAUAAUACUAAUACUUAACUUCAUUCUACUUUUUUUCUCCUAUUUAAGAUUAUGAUGAUAUAUGUUGAAUUCGAUCGGUUAAGUGUCCACUCUUUUGUCAAAUUUCUUUCUACGCCUAUAUUGACUACUUAUUUUUAUGCCUUUUUAGUCAUUGUUCUCUAAUUUGGUUGUAUAGCGUUGCUUCAAUAAAUUAAUUAUAGGAAGAAG